rnacentral:tRNA from 1 species
GCCGAAGUGGCGGAACUGGCAGACGCGCCGGAUUCAAAAUCCGGUGCCCCGGAAGGGGCGUGAGGGUUCAAGUCCCUCCUUCGGCACCA